rnacentral:rRNA from 1 species
UUUGAUCCUGGCUCAGAUUGAACGCUGGCGGCAUGCCUUACACAUGCAAGUCGAACGGCAGCACGGGAGCAAUCCUGGUGGCGAGUGGCGAACGGGUGAGUAAUAUAUCGGAACGUGCCCAGUCGUGGGGGAUAACGCAGCGAAAGCUGUGCUAAUACCGCAUACGAUCUCUGGAUGAAAGCGGGGGACUCGUAAGAGCCUCGCGCGAUUGGAGCGGCCGAUAUCAGAUUAGCUAGUUGGUGGGGUAAAGGCCCACCAAGGCGACGAUCUGUAGCUGGUCUGAGAGGACGACCAGCCACACUGGAACUGAGACACGGUCCAGACUCCUACGGGAGGCAGCAGUGGGGAAUUUUGGACAAUGGGCGCAAGCCUGAUCCAGCAAUGCCGCGUGCAGGAUGAAGGCCUUCGGGUUGUAAACUGCUUUUGUACGGAACGAAAAGGUCUGCCUUAAUACGGUGGGCCCAUGACGGUACCGUAAGAAUAAGCACCGGCUAACUACGUGCCAGCAGCCGCGGUAAUACGUAGGGUGCGAGCGUUAAUCGGAAUUACUGGGCGUAAAGCGUGCGCAGGCGGUUAUAUAAGACAGAUGUGAAAUCCCCGGGCUCAACCUGGGACCUGCAUUUGUGACUGUAUAGCUAGAGUACGGUAGAGGGGGGAUGGAAUUCCGCGUGUAGCAGUGAAAUGCGU